AGAAACUUGGACUUUUCAGCCUCACUCUGUACCCUCCCUCCCCCUGCCAUUCUCCAGAGAGGGGAGAGAGGUCGGAAAUGGAGUUAAUGAUCGAUCAUGAGGAAGCCGCCAUAAAAUCCCCAAAAUAUGGGGUCUGGAGAGCUCCCAGAUUGGUGAACACAUCCACAUAGGGAGGGGGACACACCCCAACGUCAUGGGGUAGACGCUCUUGCACUAGAGCCCCUCCCAGACCUGGCCUCAAGUGUCUCUUCAUCUGGCUGUUCGUCGGUGUCCUUUAAGAUGUCCUUUAAUAAGCUGGCAAACGUAAAUAAGUGUUUCCUUGAGCUCUGUGAGAUGUGCUAGCGAAUUAAUCGAACCUGAGGACGGGGUCGUCCAAGUCGAACAGGAGUUAAAAAAAAAAGCACCGAGAUUGAUGGACUUGCUUCAAGGCUCAUUAAUUCUAUUUGUUUCCUAAGAGGAGGAGCUGUCACCAGUGCCAUCCCCCAUCCCCCUGCCCCCGUUCUAAACUGAACUCUGACCCCGGCUGGGGUGAGGAGAGGUGGCGAGAACCUUGCUUACACACACCUCUUUCUUAUGGGAAGGGCUUUGUCACUGGCCCUUCUCUAGGGUCCGGGGGGACUUUGAGGCCUGAAUGAAGCGAAGACAGGAGCCCCGUUCCAGGCAGGAGGCAUGCAGACCUGCUCCUUCCCCAGGAGAUGCUGCAAUGAGGCAGGAACCAGCCAGCAGUUUUGUGUCUGGGACGAGCGGUAGACGAUCUUCCCAACCUCAUUUGGUGAACGGACAUUAUUCAUUAGUAUGCCCCCUGGACUCCUAGCAUUGGUGUGUAGAAGCAGAGAGUGAGUCUCACAAAUCCUCGAGGCCGACAAGUUCACUGGACACCCCAUGGGACCUUGGAAACGCUGGCCCGGCCCAGAUGAGGCACCCAGGGGCUUGCCCGUACCAGUGGGAGAUGUGAAGCUGGGACCCAAGCGCCUUCUCAGCCACCCACCAGGCAGGUGACUUCCCUGGUUGAUCCAGCCAACCGCAGGCCCAUGAUAUUCCUAUCGUGUGUAGAGAGACGAGCAAUGGGGACCACGGUCCUUGGAGACCCUCAUCAGGGGGAAUGAGAACCCCGUCCUCGGCUCCCUAUGCCUGUGGCCAAACCUUUAGUUUCUCUGGUAGAGAACUUCGACUGAAAACCUGAGGAAACACCUUGAGAAAGAACACGACAUUCCCGCUCUACCCGCAGGAUAAGACGUGAGACAGCGCCACCGCAGUAGCCUCUUACAAGCCAAAUUACAUGAGCUAAGAAAAAUCAGUGCUGUGAAUACAUCCGAUUCAUCGAAAUACAGAGAUGGUUGGCUUCCAACCUCCCUGAUUCUAACCUAGCAACUCUCACCGUAGACGCCUUCGUCCAGCCUGAUGCGCUUGGGAAUUUUGUUUUCGGUGCGCGUCUCCAUGUAAAUCUUGAAGAUUUCCUCACUGCAGACCAUUAUCUUGCUUGAGAUGUCUGGAGCUCUGUUGGAUAAGUUCGUGUUUUAAACCUUAGUCUUCUCAUGCAAGUCGUAAUGAAAAACAUCUUUUCUUCUGCUCUGACCUUAUAGAACGGAAUCUCCACGCAGCCGCCCACUCAUUCAUUCACUCAGCAAGCACGGACUGAGUACGACCAUGUGCCAGGCAAGGUGCUUGGCACAGCAGAGACAAAGCUCCUAGCCUAGUAGGAGGGUAUUGGGAGAUGGGCCAGUGACCAGGCAAUUGGAGUACAGGCCACCACACCCGCCCGCCCUUCACCCCAAGAAAUGCUCCUGGUGAAUCAAAACAAGCCCAGUCAUUGGGGAGAACCUCCACAUCCAGGCUCUGGAGUGUGAAAGGCCCUGGGCUGUUUUUCACCAGAAACUGUCAAGAUUGCUUAAGUUUCUUUUUAUCUUUCAAAAUGAAGAAAUCUGUGCGUACGCUCUGGGAACAGGGAGCCACACAGCUCCCCAGACAGUGGCCGAGGGAUGAUUCACUCCCUAGUUGGGUUCGUCGGCAGCACGUGGAGCUGGCAGAGACGCACACACAGCCCCAAGCCGCCCCUUAUCUCGCCUUCGUUUUAGGCCUCUUGAAAAGUCGAUAUCGCCUUGAGAAUCGAGAAGCCAUCCUUGCCAUUUUUAUAAACGGUUCUGAAAGAAUCGAAUGUAUGGAUGUCACACUGGCUCUUCUAGGCUAAAAGCCAGAAAGAUACGAAAUUAUCCUGACACGAAGUCACCCUGAGACCGGAGGGCGACAUAUCGUGGGGCACCUGCCUCGCUGUGCCGCGCUUGCCCUUCUGGCUUCUCCGACAUCGUCGUAACGGGUUCUCCAUCUUUAAUCACCUCUUUUGAACUCUCUGCGUUAGCUCUGUGUAUUUAAUUCCCAUCCCCACCCCUACCGCCUGAACUGGACACUGGACUGGUACACUUGGGCUUGACAAAAGUGAGGGGACGUGGCUACAUUCUUAUACUGUUCAUGGGAAUGAAAAUGGUUGCCAAAAAAUUUUUUUUGGCAGGCAGUUUGGCAAUAUUUUGCAGGAUCUUUUUUAAAAAAGUGUGUUCUUGCCUUAUCUUUUAGAGAUACAAGUGGAACUAUUUAUGAAUGAAAUGAUGUGUGUCUGGGAUUUGCUUCAAAGCGGUCCAGGGAAGAGGAUAAUUGUGACCUUUUAUAGAUGAAACAAGACUGGCCAUGAGCUGAUUGUUUAAACUGGGUGAAGGAUACUUAGGCAUUCACUGUACUUGUCUCUUAUGAAUGUUUGAAUUUAAAAAAAAUAAAAAGUUUUUUUCACAAGUAAAAUGUUGGACCUUUCAGUCCACUUUCUGGGAAUUUAUCCUAAAGAAAAAAAUUUCUAAUGUUAAAAAAAAAGAUUUCUCUGUAAGGAUGGUUUCUAACAACAUUGUUUAUAAUAACAAGCAAUCAGCAACACUCUAAUUUGCCAAUAGUGGAUGGUCCUACCGUAAUUUAUAAUAAUUCAUACUCUGCAUCCUAUUUAGGCUUAAAAAGAUGUUGCGAACAAGCAUAUCAUAAAAAGUAUUUAUGAUUUCUUUGUACAUGACAAUUUAAGUGAAAAAACAAGUUAUAUAAGCAUGUGAUAUUAUCAUCCAAUUAAAAUAUUUUUAUUUGCAUCUAGAGGAGGAUGCGAGGGCUGUACA